GCCAGAGCCACCAGGGACAGCUGCAGGGAGGCGACGCCAGCUCUCGGGUGGGCUCAGGGACGAGCAGAGCGGGCGGUGGGGAUGCAUCCUCGGAGCGCUGGCGGUGGUCCUCCAUCAGAAGGGCAUGGGGCCCUUAUGGGACAGCCGUGGCCGGGGACGGCGGAGCCUCCGCCACCCUCCCGGCCGCCGCACGUUCCCACGCCGCGCACCUCGGGGCCGCACCAGCGUUCGGAUGAGGCCGUCCUCGGGAUCCAUCCCGUCCAGCCCCGCUCCCAGCGGACCCGCGGACGCGGCGCUCAGCGCGAGGCAGAAGAGCAGCAGCAGCGCCAGCAGCCAGCGGCGCGCCGCCAUGCUCCGCCCGGCGCGGGGACACGGACGCGCGGG
rnacentral:lncRNA from 1 species